rnacentral:rRNA from 1 species
GAGUUUGAUUAUGGCUCAGGACAAACGCUGGCGGCGUGCUUAACACAUGCAAGUCGAACGAUGAAACGGAACGGAAAUUUUCGGAUGGAAGUUCUGUGGAUUAGUGGCGGACGGGUGAGUAAUGCAUGAAGAACCUGCCUUUCACAUAGGGAUAGCCUCGGGAAACCGGGAUUAAUACCAAAUGACACUCCGAGAUCGCAUGUUUUUGGGGUUAAAGAUUUUAUCGGUGAAAGAUGGCUUCAUGUCCCAUUAGCUGGUUGGUGAGGUAACGGCUCACCAAGGCGACGAUGGGUAGCCGGCCUGAGAGGGUGAACGGCCACAUUGGAACUGAGACACGGUCCAAACUCCUACGGGAGGCAGCAGUGGGGAAUAUUGCACAAUGGAGGAAACUCUGAUGCAGCGACGCCGCGUGAGCGAUGAAGGUCUUCGGAUCGUAAAGCUCUGUCCUAAGGGACGAUAAUGACG